rnacentral:rRNA from 1 species
GACAGAGGGUGCGAACGUUGCUCGGAAUUACUGGGCGUAAGGCGCGUGUAGGCGGGUGAUCAAGUCAGGUGUGAAAUCCCCAGGCUCAACCUGGGAACUGCACUUGAAACUGGUUGCCUUGAGUGUUGGAGAGGGAAGCGGAAUUCCUGGUGUAGAGGUGAAAUUCGUAGAUAUCAGGAGGAACACCGGUGGCGAAGGCGGCUUCCUGGACAAUUACUGACGCUGAGACGCGAAAGCGUGGGGAGCAAACAGG